rnacentral:tRNA from 1 species
GGGGGAUUAGCUCAAUUGGUAGAGCACCUGCUUUGCACGCAGGGGGUUAAGAGUUCGAGUCUCUCAUCCUCCA